GAUUACUCCGAUUAGUCUGCGUACCAGAUGCGGCAGUUCCUCUGUCGGGACAUCGUCAGGGACACCCCUUAUUUUUACAUUGUUGCGGCGUCUGAGGUCUUCCAGGGCCGUGAAUCGUAGGUUAGUGGCCUCUUGUUGCUGUUUAAGGGCCUGUACCUCCGUCCGGAGCUCCAGUAUGGCCUGGGCCUGUUUGUCAGAUGAGGCCUCUAGUAUUCCAAUACGGUUCACCAUACCCGUCAGGUCUGUUCUUAGCUGGGCCAUGUCGGCCUGCAGCACUUUCUGCAGAUCCCCCAGCAUAGUUCGUAGUGUCUCCGUGGUUACCGGGUCGGGUAGCCCCUUUUUCGAGGUCGGCUGUGUUAACGGAGCAAACAUUCCGCCCGGGUAGUCC